rnacentral:rRNA from 1 species
AACGAACGCUGGUGGAAUGCUUUACACAUGCAAGUCGAGCGGCAGCGCGGGGCAACCUGGCGGCGAGCGGCGAACGGGUGAGUAAUACAUCGGAACGUGCCCAGACGUGGGGGAUAACUACUCGAAAGAGUAGCUAAUACCGCAUAUGAUCUAAGGAUGAAAGCGGGGGAUCGCAAGACCUCGCGUGUUUGGAGCGGCCGAUGGCAGAUUAGGUAGUUGGUGGGGUAAAGGCUUACCAAGCCUGCGAUCUGUAGCUGGUCUGAGAGGACGACCAGCCACACUGGGACUGAGACACGGCCCAGACUCCUACGGGAGGCAGCAGUGGGGAAUUUUGGACAAUGGGCGAAAGCCUGAUCCAGCCAUUCCGCGUGCAGGAUGAAGGCCCUCGGGUUGUAAACUGCUUUUGUACAGAACGAAAAAGCUCCGGUUAAUACCUGGAGUCCAUGACGGUACUGUAAGAAUAAGCACCGGCUAACUACGUGCCAGCAGCCGCGGUAAAAC